AUGGAUUUGGGUCUCUCCGCGCCGCUUCCCAAGGAGGAGGAGCCGGAGCCGCCGGGGCCGCGCAGAGCAGCGCCAGGAGGAGGCGGAUUUGGGAGCGCAUCCUGGAAAAAAAAAACCUGGAAUUCCCAGCCCGGAGGUUUUUCAGGGAAAAAUUCCGGCCGGAGAGCGGGGAAUCGGAUUCCCGAGGGUUUCCUGGGAUUUCCACGGAUGAGGAAUUCCUGGGAGCUCCAAAGGAAAAUCGGGAAGCGCUUCCAGCCUGAUCCAGGAUCCCAAAUUCCUUCCUUUUCCCGGGAUUUUUCCCCGGGAGAUUCCCAUGGGAAUCCGGCUGGGAAAAGGCUGAUCCCAACCCCCCAUUCCCACUGGGAAUUCCCAGAUCUUUCCCCCUUUCCAAGUGCCAAAAAUCCAGGAAAAAUGCUGGGAUUUGGCCAUCCCGGCAUUCCCGGUUUCCCCAGUCCCAGAUUUCCUGGGAAUUUCAAGGUGUCCAUGGAAAACUUUGGGAUCUCAGGGAUGGGGAUCAUUCCCACUGGGAGCGGCUCCAGCCCCAAAUCCCAAUUUUCCACCCUGGAGGUGGCAGAAGCAAAGAGGAAAAAUCCUGGAAUUUUUACAGAGAAAAUCCCACUUUUCCCACUUUUCCUGGGGAGGUGGGAGUGGCAAUUCCCGGGAAAUCGAGCCAGGAGGGGCGGCAGCGGGGUGAUCCCAAAUCCCAUCCUCAAAUCCCAAAUCCUGACCCUAAAUCCCAAAUCCCAUCCCCAAAUCCCAAAUCCCAAAUCCCAAAUCCUUGGCCCCGAAUCCCAAAUCCCAGCCCCAAAUCCCAAAUCCCAAAUCCCUGGCCCCGAAUCCCAAAUCCCAGCCCCAAAUCCCAAAUCCCAUCCCCAAAUCCCUGUUCCCAAAUCCCUUCCUGGUCCCAAAUUCCAAAUCCCUGUUCCCAAAUCCUUGUCCCCAAAUGUUCCGUUCUCCAAAUCCCAUUCCCAAAUCCCUGGCCCCAAUCCCAUCCUGUCCCUGGGUCUGUCCCCAAAUCCUCCUGUCCCCAAAUCGGGGACAAUUCCCAGUGACAAUUCCCAGAUGACAAUUCCCAGUGACAAUUCCCAGGUGACAAUU
rnacentral:lncRNA from 1 species